CACGUAGGGCGCAAGCGUUGUCCGGAAUUAUUGGGCGUAAAGAGCUCGUAGGCGGUUUGUCGCGUCGGCUGUGAAAGCCCGGAGCUCAACUCCGGGUCUGCAGUCGAUACGGGCAGACUUGAGUGUUGCAGGGGAGACUGGAAUUCCUGGUGUAGCGGUGAAAUGCGCAGAUAUCAGGAGGAACACCGGUGGCGAAGGCGGGUCUCUGGGCAACAACUGACGCUGAGGAGCGAAAGCGUGGGGAGCGAACAGG
rnacentral:rRNA from 1 species